rnacentral:rRNA from 1 species
UACGUAGGAGGCAAGCGUUGUCCGGAAUUACUGGGCGUAAAGCGCGUGUAGGUGGUGGGACAAGUCUGCUGUGAAAGCGCCUGGCUUAACCGGGCGAGGUCGGCGGAAACUGUCCGACUCGAGGACGGUAGAGGGGGGUGGAAUUCCCGGUGUAGUGGUGAAAUGCGUAGAGAUCGGGAGGAACACCUGUGGCGAAGGCGGCCCCCUGGGCCGGCCCCUGACACUGAGACGCGAAGGCGUGGGGAGCGAACGGG